rnacentral:lncRNA from 1 species
AUCACAUGCUUGGAACUAAAGGAAUGGACGAAAUUGAAGACCUCAAGAUGAGGAUUCCUAUUUAAAGUAGGAAAGUUAAGCCAUGGUUUCCUAUUUUGGUUUGAUCUUUCCUAAAUCCUAAAUGUCCCUAAGUUCCAGCAACAUUGAAGGUUUCACAUGCAUUUUAGGACACAAAUUAAGGGUUCCUUGUACCAUAACAAACCUUUUCCGUGCACUCCAUCCAUGUUUAAUUCUUGCAUCAGUCAUCAAUUCACUUUCACCUUUGAAUCAUUUCAACACCACUCCAUUUUACCCAUGCUUUGCAUCAUUACUUCACUUUCACCUUUAAAUCAUUUCAACACCACUCCAUUUUACCCAUGCUUUGCCUUGCACUUCCUCUAUAAAAGGAAGUGUGUGUAACAUAAAUUGAGUUCAUACUUUGUGAGAUCAUUCACUCCCAUUUCAACACAACCUUCAUCCAAACACAUCCAUUCAUCUUCACAUCCAUUCCUCCAUACAAACAAACCUUCAAACACUCACCAACACCUUGUGUCGUAGCAAAGGAAGGGAAGGAAAGUUCUUGGACGUGCUUGCUGUCCAACUUGGAUCGUUGUAGCGUUUAGGUGUUUUCUUUCUUUUGUUUCUAAUGUUUAAAUUCAUUUCCUUUCGUUUUGUUGUAAAUAUGAGUGGCUAAACCCCUCUUCGCUAGGGGUUAUUUCAUAGCCAUGAUUAUGUGCGCAAUACAAUUUGAUUCCAGUUAUGAACUCUUGAAUCGUGAAUGCAAUUGGCUUAACUAUUUGAUUGAUAACUUAUUUGUAUUUGUUAAUUAAGGGUCGACACUUAAUUGGCAUGCAUAAAUCCGUUUCUAGAAUAUAAAAAAGUUUCACAUAAUCGUUACAAACUUAUAUUUACAUGUAGUGAAGGUCGCUUAUAAACGAUCGCGUUAAGUUCAAUUCCUAGCAUGAGUGACAUGAUGUCAUAGUUGCAAGUGCUUUGUCAAUGCUUAUGAUUUUCAUUAAACAUAAUGAUCUUUGAUUGUAUCUCUAUUAUGAUGUCAUGUAGGGAACUUUAGAAGAAUGUUUUGGGUUGUCGAAUGAUGUCAUCCAAUCCAAUAAAACAAGGAAAAUAUGAGAGUUAACUAGUGAUGUCAUCCAAUUGAAUGAAGUAGUAACUGGAAAUCGAGUUGUUUGCAUACAUAUCAUGUGUGGAGAAAAAGCCUCUAGCUAUCCCAUCCAUCAUCUUAUUUCUGAAAUUUGUUUUACAAUCUGUCUAGUUUUUCAUACUUGUUUGUUUGUUUCAACUUCGUCAAAAACUCACUCCCCCUUUACUUUAGUGUGUCUAAUUAGUUAGAAUCUAUUUUAAUUUGUGUUUUUAAAUGUUUUGAUUCAAGUAAAAGUCAAUUUUUGUCCAAAGUCAUUCCUAGUGUCUAGUUUAAGUUUAUUUGGUUGUUUUAAGCUGUUUUGAGUAUUUUAAGUU